UAGGGAAUCUUCCACAAUGGGCGAAAGCCUGAUGGGGCAACGCCGCGUGUGUGAUGAAGGCUUUCGGGUCGUAAAGCACUGUUGUAUGGGAAGAACAGCUAGAAUAGGAAAUGAUUUUAGUUUGACGGUACCAUACCAGAAAGGGACGGCUAAAUACGUGCCAA
rnacentral:rRNA from 1 species